rnacentral:rRNA from 1 species
GAUGAACGCUGGCGGCGUGCCUAAUACAUGCCAGUCGAGCGAACAGAUGAGGAGCUUGCUCCUCUGACGUUAGUGGCGGACGGGUGAGUAACACGUGGAUAACCUACCUAUAAGACUGGGAUAACUUCGGGAAACCGGAGCUAAUACCGGAUAAUAUAUUGAACCGCAUGGUUCAAUAGUGAAAGACGGUUUUGCUGUCACUUAUAGAUGGAUCCGCGCCGCAUUAGCUAGUUGGUAAGGUAACGGCUUACCAAGGCAACGAUGCGUAGCCGACCUGAGAGGGUGAUCGGCCACACUGGAACUGAGACACGGUCCAGACUCCUACGGGAGGCAGCAGUAGGGAAUCUUCCGCAAUGGGCGAAAGCCUGACGGAGCAACGCCGCGUGAGUGAUGAAGGUCUUCGGAUCGUAAAACUCUGUUAUUAGGGAAGAACAAAUGUGUAAGUAACUAUGCACGUCUUGACGGUACCUAAUCAGAAAGCCACGGCUAACUACGUG